ACGUACACUCCUGCGGGAGGCAGCAGUGGGGAAUAUUGGACAAUGGGCGCAAGCCUGAUCCAGCCAUGCCGCGUGAGUGAUGAAGGCCCUAGGGUUGUAAAGCUCUUUUGUGCGGGAAGAUAAUGACGGUACCGCAAGAAUAAGCCCCGGCUAACUUCGUGCCAGCAGCCGCGGUAAUACGAAGGGGGCUAGCGUUGCUCGGAAUCACUGGGCGUAAAGGGUGCGUAGGCGGGUCUUUAAGUCAGGGGUGAAAUCCUGGAGCUCAACUCCAGAACUGCCUUUGAUACUGAAGAUCUUGAGUUCGGGAGAGGUGAGUGGAACUGCGAGUGUAGAGGUGAAAUUCGUAGAUAUUCGCAAGAACACCAGUGGCGAAGGCGGCUCACUGGCCCGAUACUGACGCUGAGGCACGAAAGCGUGGGGAGCAAACAGGAUUAGAAACCCGGGUAGUCCCA
rnacentral:rRNA from 1 species